UGGCUUAUAGCGCAACGGUAGCGCAGCUACCUGAUACGUAGCAGGUUACAGGUUCGAAUCCUGUUAAGCCGAC
rnacentral:tRNA from 1 species